rnacentral:sRNA from 1 species
AUAUCGACAACCUUCACAGCUUGAUCAUCGACUCCUUCGUCUUCACCCCCUUCCUCACCCGAUGGAUUCUGUUGGUGCAGGAAUUAGCACCUCCGACAAUACCAAUUUAAACCAAGGAAUAACAUGAAUAAAAUCGAGAAUUCGAUUGAACCGGGGAAUCCCGGUUAGCCUGUUAAUGGGCCUAAGUCAUGAGCUCGCCAGAAGAUUUAGGUCGACAAUCGAGAUCGCCAUAGGCGGCUUCUGAGGUCGUGUGAAGGGAAAACUUCCAUUUAAAAGAGGGGAAUCUCAUGAAGAAUGGAAGUAAUGGAGAUUUAGACCUAAGAUAAUUAGAAGUUUAUCAUAUUUUGGUAUGUUCGACCCAUUGUAUAAAUAGGGGGGGGUCAAACUCCCCAAAGGAUCAUCUUUAACCUAAUACAAGAGACUACGAUUAUAGAGCAAACCCUAGCUUUCUGUUCAAACAACUUUGUUCUUUCCCUUUGAUUAUUUGUGAGCUAAGAGAGGAGUGAAUUUGUCUAAAUCCCUUAGUACAAAUUCAUUGUUUGAUUACAAAAUCAACAGAUUCGCACCUAUGUCAAAAUCCAUAGCUCCUUUCACAACCCACU